rnacentral:rRNA from 1 species
UACAUAGGGGGCAAGCGUUAUCCGGAAUUAUUGGGCGUAAAGCGCGCGUAGGCGGCUACUUAAGUCAGACGUGAAAAACCUGGGCUCAACUAAGGUAUUGCGUUUGAAACUGGGUAGCUUGAGGACAGGAGAGGAUAGUGGAAUUCCUAGUGUAGCGGUGAAAUGCGUAGAUAUUCGAAGGAACACCGGUGGCGAAGGCGGCUACCUGGACCGAUACUGACGCUGAGACGCGAAAGCGUGGGGAGCAAACAGG